rnacentral:rRNA from 1 species
AACACGUGGGGAACCUGCCCCAUAGUCUGGGAUACCACUUGGAAACAGGUGCUAAUACCGGAUAAGAAAGCGGAUCGCAUGAUCAGCUUUUAAAAGGCGGCGUAAGCUGUCGCUAUGGGAUGGCCCCGCGGUGCAUUAGCUAGUUGGUAAGGUAAAGGCUUACCAAGGCGAUGAUGCAUAGCCGAGUUGAGAGACUGAUCGGCCACAUUGGGACUGAGACACGGUCCAAACUCCUACGGGAGGCAGCAGCC